UGGAACAUAGCUCAGUGGUAGAGCUACCGGCUUAUAUCCGGUGAGUCCCGGGUUCGAUUCCUGGUGUUCCAA
rnacentral:tRNA from 1 species